rnacentral:tRNA from 1 species
GUGGUUCAGUUGUAGGAUUCUUACCUUCCAUGUAGGCGACCCAGGUUCAAUUCCUGGC